AUCAUCAGAAUCAUCUGUAUCAAUUUCAUUUAUAGCAUUAAGAUUAUGGUCCUCUGAUGCCUCUACAGAUUGUAAAUAAUACAUACUUACAUAUUUGGCAGAAUCAUAUUGUCAAAGAAAUGCAUAUGAAUAAUUAUCUUCAUAACUCAUCUUCAAACACUGCCUAUUAUUGUAGAUUAUUUGUCCAUCUCACAUGCAUACCAAACAUUGUGUGUUUUUAAAAACCUGAUUCACUAUAUGAUGGAAAAGCCUCCCUGCACCAUUCAGGGCUGGCCAUUAUCCAGACUUCACAGUUAUUUCCCCACGGCCAUCAAUCACACAAUAAAUAAUCAGUCAGUCAACUGAUCUAUCAGUAAUGUUUAAAUAUAUCCAGUUAAUAGAACUCGUACUGACAGUGCUGAAGAUGUGGAGACUGAGUGUAUACACACACAGACGUAUCAAAUGACAGCAGCAGCAGCGUGUCUGAAAGCACGACAUUCCCCAUUUAAGCUGAUUGGCUGACAUUUGCGAGCAGCUUGUAGUAAAGACCGUAUUAAAAUUUGUUAAUCCUGCAAAGUUAAAAGUGGCCACUAUUUUUAGUCGCUGUUGUUAUCACACAUCAGUCGGUCUGUAUUAAAUCCUCCGCCUUCACAGAAACACACGUUUACACUGCGCUUUGGCUGGAUCACACUUGUCUCUCACCAGCUCAGCUUUACUGAACACACUUGGAGGGAUUGCUAUGGCAACUGGUUGCUAUGGGUGAUGUGACACCACUACAUGCUCAUCUUGGCGAGGGAAAGAGGGAGUUGGACCACAGAGGAGAGGAAUGGAAGCGGAGAGCCACGGAUUUUAUUUUGAUUGCUGAACAAAUCGACGAGCUCGGUUGAAAAAGUUGUGACAACCCUCUGUCUCUGGGCGGACAGCCGUGAUGGAAGACGUCUCUCUCCCUGCUUAUUUCGGGUCUCCAUCACCCUCCCACUGAUGAAUCCUUUUCAGUAACAACAGAAUGGCUCUAAACAGGAACCUGUUGAUCACGAAUGUGGCGAAAAUGGCCACGUGCCCCUGACCCGUGCCGAGGAACUGGAGAGGAUGGCCGAGCAUCUCCACAGCAGCACGCUGUCUGCGUCUGGGGCCACCCAGCCCAUCCCUUUCCUCACGCUGGAACAGAAGGCUGCCUUCGUCUUCGUCCUCCUCCUCUUCAUCUUUCUGGGGCUGCUGAUCGUGCGCUGCUUCCGAAUCCUUCUGGAUCCGUACAGUAGCAUGCCGAGUUCCACAUGGACAGACUAUAUGGAAAAAGACACGUUCGACUACCGCAUUGCCUGAGCUGCUAGCCAGAUUUCAGGCUAGGAGACAUGCGAUGAUUACCUCACACACACACACACACACACGCCGACACACACAACCACCACCACACCUCCUCCACCUCAGAGCCGACUGUAUCCCUCAAGUGUUGUUGUUUCGUGAUGGUGGUUUUGUGUACUUGUGGGUCUGGAUUUUCCAUUUGAAAACUGCACUUAAACCAACUUUUAUGUCUCCUGCGUUCUGACAGGGUUUUUUCAACUCAUACCUUCCACCACUGAUGUCACGUUCAGCAUGGCUGAAAAGUCUUAGCGAUGAAUCUUUUAUGUUUGAAACCAGCCGAAUAGCUUUAUCACAGACCAACAAUACGGUUCAUUAUUUUCUAUGUCCAAAGAAAGACAAAUUAACAAUUCCGAAAUUGGAAAAUGAAAAAUUAGGUUAAUCCAUUUCUCAAUGACUCAUUCCACACUUGUGCAUUGGUUCCAGAACGAUUACAUUCUCUGAGCUCUUCGGUUUGGGACUCUUUGGAGCUUUGCGCCUUAUAAAUCCGUGUGUUUACAGAACAGCCAGAGAAACUGGCCCUGCUGUUAUUCAGCUAAAUGUCAAUCAAUGUACUGACCUACCAGCCUCUGUGGGCAAAUGGAAUGUUUGAUUUGCCAGGUCCUUUCCCCGCCUCUCUCCACAGUGUUCUUAAUAGGAGGAGUCGGAUUUCCUGUCUGUUGUUCUUCAGUAUUUGCUGACGUUGAAAUGGACUGUUCUAUCAAUCGAUUGUUUGCCGUUCUGCCCGGGCUAUCGGCACAGUGUUAUUUUUCCUUCUCAAAGUCUGGUUCACCUGUGAUUUGCUAUACAUGUUCAAUAGAAAUGAAGCUGAAAUAAACAGGUGCGAUAUGUGUCUUGCGUGCAGAGGAGGUCAAUAUUGCCAUUUAGGUGCAACUUAGCUAUUGCUUUCGAGUCUGUAGUGCAGCGGUGUUAUUUCUCCGUGACACCGACCUGCUCUUCUCACGAUGCACAUUGUGUCUUAGCUGAGUGGCGUGUACGAUAUAUUUGAGCCUUUAAAAUGCAGACAGAUGCUGGUGACUUUAUUCAAACUGAAAAUGUGCCAUGUAGUUUACAAGUGGCUUUUGCAUUUUAAUGUGCUUUUAUAUUUGUUUCCAAAUAAAUAAAUGAAUAAAAGAUAUGUUUACAGCUCA